AAAGAUUAAGCCAUGCAUGUCUAAGUAUAAGUUCUUUACUGCGAAACUGUGAAUGGCUCAUUAUAACAGUUAUUAUUUCCUAGCCGGUCAGUGAUUCCUUGGAUACCCAUGGUAAUUCUAGAGCUAAUACAUGCUUACAAACCCGACUUCACGGAAGGGUUGCGCUUAUUAGAUACCGAACCAACCCAGGCUCUGCCUGGUUUUUGUUGAUUCAUAGUGUUCUGGCGAAUCGACUCGCAAGAGUCGAUGAGGCUAUCAAGUUUCUGACCUAUCAGCUUUCGACGGUAGGAUAUUGGCCUACCGUGGCUUUGACGGGUAACGGAGAAUUAGGGUUCGAUUCCGGAGAGGGAGCCUGAGAAACGGCUACCACAUCUAAGGAAGGCAGCAGGCGCGUAAAUUACCCAAUCCUGACACAGGGAGGUAGUGACAAGAAAUAUCAAUAUAAGACAUUCUGUCUUGUAAUUGGGAUGAGAACAAUUUAAACCACUUAUCGAGUAUCAAUUGGAGGGCAAGUCUGGUGCCAGCAGCCGCGGUAAUUCCAGCUCCAAUAGCGUAUAUUAAAAUUGUUGCGGUUAAAACGCUCGUAGUUGGAUAUCUGCCAAGGGGUUCCGGUCCUCCCCAGUGGAGAAUACACGGAACUCUUCUUGGCAUUUGUUCAGGGAAGGUGUUUGCACUUUAUUGUGUGUCACAUGAUCUGAAUUUUUACUUUGAGGAAAUAAGAGUGUUUCAAGCAGGCUUUUGCCGUGAAUAUGAUAGCAUGGAAUAAUAGCACAGGACCCCUUUCCAAAGCUGUUGGUUUUUGGAACGAGGUAAUCAAAAUAAGGAUAGUUGGGGGUAUUCGUAUUUAAUUGUCAGAGGUGAAAUUCUUGGAUUUUUUAAAGACGAACUAUUGCGAAGGCAUCUGCCCAGGAUGUUUUUGUUGAUCAAGAACGAAAGUUAGGGGAUCGAAGACGAUCAGAUACCGUCCUAGUCUUAACCUUAAACUAUGCCGACUGGAGAUUGGAGUCGUCAGAUUUUGACGUCUUCAGCAUCCUGAGAGAAAUCUAAGUCUUUGGGUUCCGGGGGGAGUAUGGUCGCAAGGCUGAAA
rnacentral:rRNA from 2 species